rnacentral:rRNA from 1 species
AUUGAACGCUGGCGGCAUGCUUUACACAUGCAAGUCGAACGGUAACAGGCCGCAAGGUGCUGACGAGUGGCGAACGGGUGAGUAAUGCAUCGGAACGUGCCCAGUCGUGGGGGAUAACUACUCGAAAGAGUAGCUAAUACCGCAUACGAUCUAUGGAUGAAAGCGGGGGACCGUAAGGCCUCGCGCGAUUGGAGCGGCCGAUGUCAGAUUAGGUAGUUGGUGGGGUAAAGGCUCACCAAGCCAACGAUCUGUAGCUGGUCUGAGAGGACGACCAGCCACACUGGGACUGAGACACGGCCCAGACUCCUACGGGAGGCAGCAGUGGGGAAUUUUGGACAAUGGGCGCAAGCCUGAUCCAGCAAUGCCGCGUGCAGGAAGAAGGCCUUCGGGUUGUAAACUGCUUUUGUACGGAAAGAAACGGCUCUGGUUAAUACCCGGGGCUAAUGACGGUACCGUAAGAAUAAGCACCGGCUAACUACGUG